CUUGGAGAUCCUGCGUCCAACAUGAAAACUAUUUGUUGUCUCAGCUUUGCUUGGGUGCUUCGCAACUGCUGUUGCAGCCUCGGCAGAUGGAAAUGUGAAAUGGUGCGUCAAUUCCGGACAAAGAAGAGAAGAAAUGCAAAGACCUUGCCGCCAAAGGACCGUUUUCCUGCGUAAAAAGAAGAUGGGCCGAUUGAAUGCAUCAAAGCGAUUCACGCGGGUGAGGCAGAUGCUAUCACUCUGGAUUCAGGAGAUAUCUACACAGCUGGCCUCAAACCCUAUGAAUUGCGUCCUAUUCAUUGCAGAGUAUGCUGGCAAUG